rnacentral:rRNA from 1 species
AUUGAACGCUGGCGGCAGGCCUAACACAUGCAAGUCGGACGAGUGGCGGACGGGUGAGUAAUGUAUGGGGAUCUGCCUGAUGGAUGGGGAUAACUACUGGAAACGGUAGCUAAUACCGCAUACCAUCAGCUGAGCCCAGAUGGGAUUAGCUAGUUGGUGGGGUAACGGCUCACCCAGGCGACGAUCCCUAGCUGGUCUGAGAGGAUGAGCAGCCACACUGGGACGGAGACACGGCCCAGACUCCUCCGGGAGGCAGAAGUGGGGAAUAUUGCACAAUGGGCGCAACCCUGAUGGAGCCAUGCGGCGGGUAUGAAGAAGGCCUUCGGGUUGGAAAGUACUUUAAGCUGGGAGGCGUUACUCACAGAAUAAGCACCGGCUAACUUCGUGCCAGCAGCCGCGGUAAUAC